rnacentral:rRNA from 1 species
GACGAACGCUGGCGGCGUGCCUAAUAUAUGCAAGUAGAACGCUGAAGGAGGAGCUUGCUUCUCUGGAUGAGUUGCGAACGGGUGAGUAACGCGUAGGUAACCUGCCUGGUAGCGGGGGAUAACUAUUGGAAACGAUAGCUAAUACCGCAUAAUAGCAGUUAUUGCAUGAUAACUGUUUGAAAGGUGCAAUUGCACCACUACCAGAUGGACCUGCGUUGUAUUAGCUAGUUGGUGGGGUAACGGCUCACCAAGGCGACGAUACAUAGCCGACCUGAGAGGGUGAUCGGCCACACUGGGACUGAGACACGGCCCAGACUCCUACGGGAGGCAGCAGUAGGGAAUCUUCGGCAAUGGACGGAAGUCUGACCGAGCAACGCCGCGUGAGUGAAGAAGGUUUUCGGAUCGUAAAGCUCUGUUGUAAGAGAAGAACGAGUGUGAGAGUGGAAAGUUCACACUGUGACGUAUCUACCAGAAA